GAGAGCCUUUGUGGCCCUGCAAAGGGUACCUGCCGCGACUAUAAACAAAGAAUGUGGGUAUUAAAUCGCAAGUCAGCUCCGGCUGGCCACACUUUCGAAUUGCGGGGACUCCCUAAAGCUCUGUUCUACCAACCGGUGGGGGAAACUCAACCGGGGCCAAUGCUAACAACAUUGGGUAUGGUAACAAUGAAGAGAGAUGCGCCAAUGGGUGAUCCGCAGCCAAGUCCCUACAGUGCUCCAUGGCACCAUGGGAAAGGUUCACAGACUAAGUGGAAGUGGGUUGGGCGGAUGAACCGUUCAGCUUAAGAUAUAGUCGGGCCUUGGUUGAAAAAUCUGGGAAGUCACUGUUCCGUAGGUGAACCUGCGGAAGGAUCAUUA
rnacentral:ncRNA from 1 species